AUUGAACGCUGGCGGCAUGCUUUACACAUGCAAGUCGAACGGUAACAGGCCGCAAGGUGCUGACGAGUGGCGAACGGGUGAGUAAUGCAUCGGAACGUGCCCAGUCGUGGGGGAUAACGCAGCGAAAGCUGUGCUAAUACCGCAUACGAUCUAUGGAUGAAAGCGGGGGACCGGAAGGCCUCGCGCGAUUGGAGCGGCCGAUGUCAGAUUAGGUAGUUGGGGGGGUAAAGGCCCACCAAGCCAACGAGCUGUAGCUGGUCUGGGAGGACGACCAGCCACACUGGGACUGAGACACGGCCCAGACUCCUACGGGAGGCAGCAGUGGGGAAUUUUGGACAAUGGGCGUAAGCCUGAUCCAGCAAUGCCGCGUGCAGGAAGAAGGCCUUCGGGUUGUAAACUGCUUUUGUACGGAACGAAACGGUCUGGGUUAAUACCCUGGGCUAAUGACGGUACCGUAAGAAUAAGCACCGGCUAACUACGUGCCAGCCGCCGCCGUAA
rnacentral:rRNA from 1 species